GGGGAAAGCAAACAGGACGCACCGUAGUUUAUGUUACACAGCAGUUAAUUAUCUUCUUCAAUCUUUUCUCAAAACUGAAAAGUAAUCUGCACACCUGUCCUGAUCAUCACCUCUCCCCUUCAAAAGCUCUGACCUGACAUCCAUUCCCUGCCGGAUCGUUAGCCAUGAACAUUACUCACCCGGAUCAUUUACCCCAUUCCCGCCUGGUCGUCGGAGGAUUCCGCUUCCCCAUUGGAUCCACCUAUUUACUCCCAUCAACUCACCACCGCUGCCCGCUACGCCACCUGGAUAUAUCUACCCAUUCACAUUCACUUGUAAAUAAAUA